UCUACUCUUUCCCUAUCAGUUUUUCUUUUCUUUCUCUCCAAGUUAGUUUCUAAUUUUGUUCUCUUCUCAAUCUGUGACCCUAGAUCGCGAACGGCAACCAAUCUUCAUCGUGCUUCCGCCGCAAAAAUCCUUGGGUUUCUUCAUUUGAUUGUUAACUUGUGACUGCUAGCACUUUUGGGUUGCCAUUUCAAUUGUCUUCUUUGUUGCUGCUACAUUAUUUACUCUACUGAAACUUUGUGAUUUAAUCUUCCCCAGGUUGUAAAGUAUAUUUUGGUCUUAGAUAGCCAGCCAAGCUAAGCUAAGUAGAUGGAAGCAAUUGUUGAAGUUGAAGAUUGUGAAAGCGUUUAAGAUUUCUUAUUUAAGUCUUGUAUUAGGAUCUAGUUUCAUGUAUUAUUAUAGAAUGUAUAUACAAACGCAAUAUUAAGA